GUUUGGCGUUGCAGCUGUGUGGGCGCUGGUGCGUGCGAGUAGCGCUCGAAGAAACCCAAAGGCGUCGUGGGGCUGCCGUGUGCCCCAGAGAGCACUGCAGGCCGGGUAGGGGCUAAGGCUCCCCGCAGUCUUCUGUGUGUCGUCCAGUACGCAGUUGAAAUCGUUCUCCAACCUGGCCAGUCCUCCGAGGCCCUUCUCAGGCGACCAGACUCUGUUAACAGAGUCCAUUGCUAAAACUCCUCGUUAGUAUUUACCACUCCUCCAGUCUGUGUUUUGAAGCAGUGGUUUUCAACCACUGCCCGUUUUCAGAAGAAAUCAUCUCAAGCGUCCGUGUGCUGCUAGAAGCCGGGCCGGGAGGUCUUGGUGCCGGACUCCACCCUGCAGCCCUUCCCUUUCGCCACCGCCCUGUGCUUAGAGAAACCUUAGAGUGGAGCAAUGAGUCGCCCUUGACUGAGUAACUCUUCGGGGUCAACUUCUCCUUCCACGCCAAGGAAAGGAUUCCAGGGCGAUGUUUCUGGAAAUAGAGAUCUGACCAAGCCACUGCUCUGGUGAAAAUUCAGUGGGUCCCUAGCACCUAGUGCAGCGGCUCCUAGCCUGAGUAUUGCCGUCUUUCGGUGGGGAGGGGUUGGGUUUUUUUGUAGCAUCUGUUGAUCUGAUCUCCAACAUCCUCCACGUCAAUUCCCACUCCACCCACAUCCCUUAUCCUAUACGUAAGCUUUCCAGCCACGGUGCUGGCUUGGGUGGGGGUGCGUGCGGUGCUGACACCAAAAUGGAGGUCCCGUGUUUCUGAGAGUCUCUUUCAGAGCAAUGCAAACCUGAAACUACUCCUGCCAAGAAACGAUUGCAGCUCUUCCCGGAAAAGUUAAAGCCUUUGAGAAACAAAGCUGAGGUGGGUAACUUAAUUAAAAAAAUACAGAGAGGAGUUUCAAGUAGACUAAGUGGGAAGAAAAGGAAAGAGUCUUGGGUGGGGCAGGGAUUCAGGGCACCAGCUUCCUUAUCGCUGAGCCUGGGGGGUGGGGGAGG
ensembl:lncRNA novel transcript